UACGAGUGCCCCAAGCGUUAUCCGGAAUCAUUGGGCGUAAAGCGCGUGUAGGCGGCUGAGUAAGUCUGCUCUGAAAGCCCGGGGCUCAACCCCGGGAGGCGGGUGGAUACUGCUCAGCUCGAGUCCGGAAGAGGAGUGUGGAAUUCCUGGUGUAGCGGUGAAAUGCGCAGAUAUCAGGAGGAACACCAAUGGCGAAGGCAGCACUCUGGGACGGUACUGACGCUGAGACGCGAAAGCGUGGGGAGCAAACAGG
rnacentral:rRNA from 1 species